rnacentral:rRNA from 1 species
AUUGGGUUUCUAAAAGGCCGCGGUAUUAUGACCGUGCAAAGGUAGCAUAAUCAUUAGUCUUUUAAUUGAAGGCUAGAAUGAAUGGUUGGACAAGAAAUAAUCUGUCUUAAAUUAAAAUAUUGAAUUUAACUUUUAAGUGAAAAGGCUUAAAUUAUCUAGAGUGACGAUAAGACCCUAUAAAACUUUAUAUUUUAAAAUAAUAGUUAGUUUUAUUUAAGAGUUUUAUUUUGAAAUAUUUUAUUGGGGUGAUAAAGAUACAAAUUAAAAUAACUGUCUUUUUUUUUUACAAUAAUCUUUGAAUUAAUGAUCCUAAGAAAGGAGUAAAAGAUCAAGUUACUUUAGGGAUAACAGCGUAAUUUUUUUUAAGAGUUCAUAUCGACAAAAAAGUUUGCGACCUCGAUGUUGAAUUAAAAGAUCUUUAUAGAGCAGAAACUAUAAGAGAAGGUCUGUUCGACCCUUUAAAAUUUUACAUGAUUUGAGUUCAGACCGGCGAAAG